rnacentral:ncRNA from 1 species
UAUAAAGGUUUGGUCCUAGCCUUUCUAUUAGCUGUCAGUAAGAUUACACAUGCAAGUAUCCGCGCCCCUGUGAGAAUGCCCUUAAAGUCCUUUAAAAUGACGACAAAGGAGCUGGUAUAAAGUUCACUUCAAAGUAGCUCAAAACACCUUGCAUAGCCACACCCCCACGGGAAACAGCAGUGAUAAAAAUUAAGCCAUGAACGAAAGUUUGACUAAGCUAUACUGACUAUUAGGGUUGGUAAAUUUCGUGCCAGCCACCGCGGUCAUACGAUGGACCCGAGUUAAUAGAACAACGGCGUAAAGAGUGUUAAGGAAAUAAACUUAAACUAAAGUCAAGACUUAACUAAGAUGUAAAAACCUACAGCUAAAGUAAAAAUAAACUACGAAAGUGACUUUAAUAUAUCUGAUAACACGACAGCUAAGGCCCAAACUGGGAUUAGAUACCCCACUAUGCUUAGCCAUAAACUUAGAUAGUCGCAUUAACAAGACUAUCCGCCAGAGAACUACUAGCCACAGCUUAAAACUCAAAGGACUUGGCGGUGCUUUAUAUCCCUCUAGAGGAGCCUGUUCUAUAAUCGAUACACCCCGAUAAACCUCACCAACUCUUGCUAAUUCAGCUUAUAUACCGCCAUCUUCAGCAAACCCUUAAAAGGAUUAAUAGUAAGCACAAGUACAGACAUAAAAACGUUAGGUCAAGGUGUAGCUUAUGAGUUGGGAAGCAAUGGGCUACAUUUUCUAUAUAAGAAUAUUACGAAAGUCUUUAUGAAACUAAAGACUAAAGGAGGAUUUAGCAGUAAAUUAAGAGUAGAGUGCUUAAUUGAAUAGGGCCAUGAAGCACGCACACACCGCCCGUCACCCUCCUCAAGUGUCUAAACUAUUAACGCAUACCUAAGCAUAAAGUAAUAAACAUAAGAGGAGACAAGUCGUAACAAGGUAAGCAUACUGGAAAGUGUGCUUGGAAUAAU